rnacentral:rRNA from 1 species
UACGUAGGGUGCAAGCGUUAAUCGGAAUUACUGGGCGUAAAGCGCGCGCAGGCGGCCUUUUAAGUCUGACGGUGAAAUGCCGGGGCUCAACCCCGUGCCCGCCGGAGAUACUGGGAGGCUGGAGACGAGUAGAGGCAAGCGGAAUUCCGGGUGUAGCGGUGGAAUGCGUAGAGAUCCGGAAGAACACCGGAGGCGAAGGCGGCUUGCUGGGCUCAUGUCUGACGCUGAGGCGCGAAAGCGUGGGGAGCGAACAGG